GAUGAACGCUGGCGGCGUGCAUAACACAUUCAAGUCGAACGAAGCAUUUAAGACGGAGACUUCGGUCAAAGUCUUAUUUGACUUAGUGGCGGACGGGUGAGUAACGCGUGAGCAACCUGCCCUUUUGUUCGGGAUAACGUUUGGAAACGGACGCUAAUACCGAAUGACGUGUUGAGAUUGCAUGGUCUUAACACCAAAGAUUUAUUGCAGAAGGAUGGGCUCGCGUCUGAUUAGGUAGUUGGUGGGGUAACGGCCUACCAAGCCGACGAUCAGUAGCCGGACUGAGAGGUUGAACGGCCACAUUGGAACUGAGAUACGGUCCAGACUCCUACGGGAGGCAGCAGUGGGGAAUAUUGGGCAAUGGGCGAAAGCCUGACCCAGCGACGCCGCGUGAGGGAAGACGGUCUUCGGAUUGUAAACCUUUGUUGACAGGGACGAACAAAUGACGGUACCUGGUCGAGGAAAG
rnacentral:rRNA from 1 species